rnacentral:rRNA from 2 species
UACGUAGGGUGCAAGCGUUGUCCGGAAUUAUUGGGCGUAAAGAGCUCGUAGGCGGUUUGUCGCGUCUGCUGUGAAAUCCCGAGGCUCAACCUCGGGCCUGCAGUGGGUACGGGCAAACUAGAGUGUGGUAGGGGAGAUUGGAACUCCUGGUGUAGCGGUGGAAUGCGCAGAUAUCAGGAAGAACACCGAUGGCGAAGGCAGAUCUCUGGGCCAUUACUGACGCUGAGGAGCGAAAGCGUGGGGAGCGAACAGG